CGAACGGCAGCACGGGAGCUUGCUCCUGGUGGCGAGUGGCGAACGGGUGAGUAAUGCGUCGGAACGUACCGAGUAAUGGGGGAUCACGCACCGAAAGGUGUGCUAAUACCGCAUACGCCCUGAGGGGGAAAGUGGGGGAUCGUAAGACCUCACGUUAUUCGAGCGGCCGACGUCUGAUUAGCUAGUUGGUGAGGUAAUGGCUCACCAAGGCGACGAUCAGUAGCGGGUCUGAGAGGAUGAUCCGCCACACUGGGACUGAGACACGGCCCAGACUCCUACGGGAGGCAGCAGUGGGGAAUUUUGGACAAUGGGGGCAACCCUGAUCCAGCCAUUCCGCGUGAGUGAAGAAGGCCUUCGGGUUGUAAAGCUCUUUCAGCAGGAACGAAACGGUGCGCUCUAACAUAGCGUGCUAAUGACGGUACCUGCAGAAGAAGCACCGGCUAACUACGUGCCAGCAGCCGCGGUAAUACGUAGGGUGCGAGCGUUAAUCGGAUUUACUGGGCGUAAAGCGUGCGCAGGCGGAUUGUUAAGCAAGACGUGAAAUCCCCGGGCUUAACCUGGGAAUGGCGUUUUGAACUGGCAGUCUAGAGUGUGUCAGAGGGGGGUGGAAUUCCACGUGUAGCAGUGAAAUGCGUAGAGAUGUGGAGGAACACCGAUGGCGAAGGCAGCCCCCUGGGAUAACACUGACGCUCAUGUACGAAAGCGUGGGUAGCAAACAGGAUUAGAUACCCUGGUAGUCCACGCCCUAAACGAUGUCAACUGGUUGUUGGGGGAGUGAAAUCCCUUAGUAACGAAGCUAACGCGUGAAGUUGACCGCCUGGGGAGUACGGUCGCAAGAUUAAAACUCAAAGGAAUUGACGGGGACCCGCACAAGCGGUGGAUGAUGUGGAUUAAUUCGAUGCAACGCGAAAAACCUUACCUACCCUUGACAUGUCCAGAAUCCUGCAGAGAUGCGGGAGUGCCCGAAAGGGAAUUGGAACACAGGUGCUGCAUGGCUGUCGUCAGCUCGUGUCGUGAGAUGUUGGGUUAAGUCCCGCAACGAGCGCAACCCUUAUCAUUAGUUGCUACGCAAGGGCACUCUAAUGAGACUGCCGGUGACAAACCGGAGGAAGGUGGGGAUGACGUCAAGUCCUCAUGGCCCUUAUGGGUAGGGCUUCACACGUCAUACAAUGGUCGGUACAGAGGGUUGCCAAGCCGCGAGGUGGAGCCAAUCCCAGAAAGCCGAUCGUAGUCCGGAUUGUUCUCUGCAACUCGAGAGCAUGAAGUCGGAAUCGCUAGUAAUCGCGGAUCAGCAUGUCGCGGUGAAUACGUUCCCGGGUCUUGUACACACCGCCCGUCACACCAUGGGAGUGGAAUCUGCCAGAAGUAGGUAGCCUAACCGCAAGGGGGGCGCUUACCACGGUGGGUUUCAUGACUGGGGUGAAGUCGUAACAAGGUA
rnacentral:rRNA from 1 species